AUAAAGCCUCUAUGAGAACACGAUGUGCAAGUGAACUAUUUUGGAGUGCAUCUUGCUUGUUCUGAUAAAAAUUCAUUAAAAAAUUUUCAGAGGUGUUCAAGGAGAAAGACACAAGAAAUAUUGGAAGUGCAGUGUUCACAAUUGAUGAGUGGCUGGAGAACACGAUGUAUGCGUAGAAUGCCGGAUGCAACUGACACGUGACUAUCCUUGAUACGUCUUCUUGGGGAAUCCCAGCCAACAAACUGCCAACUCCGGUCACUUCCAACAUCUCUUUCGGGUCUUUGCCACAACACAUGCAGACUUCCUGCUUAAUGCAAAGCUUU
rnacentral:lncRNA from 1 species